rnacentral:ncRNA from 2 species
UCAAUGCCCUAGGGGAGUCACCGACUGAGAGUUCCGCCACGGCGGGAUGACCCUUUGAACCUGAUCCGGAUGAUGCCGGCGGAGGGAAGCGGCAACCGACAACA